rnacentral:tRNA from 1 species
GCGGGUGUGGUGGAAUUGGUAGACACGCUAGAUUUAGGAUCUAGUGCAGCAAUGCGUGAAGGUUCGAGUCCUUUCACCCGCA